rnacentral:misc_RNA from 1 species
CAGUAUUGUGACCCACGCCAGCUCUCCACCGCAAGGUGGUAGAAGGUAUGGAGCCCACCCGUGAUUAUAUUACCUUUGUUGCUUUGGCAGGCCGCGGCUUUCGCUGCCGGCUUCGGCUGGCAUGUGCCUGCCAGAGGACCCCAACUCUUGAUUUUAGUGAUGUCUGAGUACUAUAUAAUAGUUA